CUGGCAGGUGGUUCGGUCUGUCCGGGAGGUGCUUGCAGCGUGUCCGGCAUGUGGUUCUGGCACUUCUGAGAUGUGGUUCCGCCAUGACCAGCAGGUGAUUCCGGAGUGUCCGCCAAGUGGUUUUGUCUUGGCCGGCAGCUGAUUUUGGCGUCUCCGGCAGGUGGUUCCAGCGAGUUGAGCAGGUGUUUCCUGUGUAAUAGCCAGGUGGUUUAGGCGUGUCCGGAAAGUGAUUCUGGAGUGUCCGCAAAGUGGUUCCGGCAUAACAGGCAGGUGAUUUUUGCAUGUUCGGUAGUUGGUUCCUGCGAGUCGAGCAGGUUGUUCCGGCGUGUCCGUCAGGUGGUUCUGGCCUGUCCGGGAGGCGGUUCCGGCGUGUCCAGCACAUGGUUCUGGCACUUCUGAGACGUGGUUCUGGCAUGCCCAGCAGGUGAUUCCGGAGUGUCCGCCAAGUGGUUCUGUCAUAGCUGGCAGGUGAUUUUGGCAUCUCCGGCAGGUGGUUCCAGUGAGUUGAGCAGGUAUUUCCUGCCUUCUCCACAGGUGGUUUAGGUGUGUCCAGAAGGUGAUUCCGGAGUGUCUGCCAAGUGUUUCUGGCGUAACCGGCAGGUGAUUUUGGCAUGUCAGGCUGGUGGUUCCGGCGAGUCGAGCAGGUGGUUCCGGUGUGCUUGGCAGGUGGUUCAGGCGUGUCCGGAACGUGGUUCUGGCACGUCUGAGAGGUGGUUCCGUCAUGCCCGUCAGGUGAUUCCGGAGUGUCCGCCAAGUGGUUCUGGCUUACUUGGCAGGUGAUUUUGGCGUGUCCAGCAGGUGGUUCCGGCGAGUUGAGCAGGUGUUUCCUGCGUGCUCACCAGGUGGUUUAGGCGUGCCCAUCAGGUGAUUCCAGAGUGUCCGCCAAGUGGUUCUGGCUUACUCGUCAGGUGAUUUUGGUGUGUCCGGCACAUUGUUCUGGCACAUCUGAGAUGUCGUUCCGGCCUGCCCGGCAGAUGAUGCAGGAGUGUCUGCCAAGUGGUUCUGGCGUACUCGGCAGGUGAUUUUGGCGUGUCUGGCAGGUGGUGCCAGUGAGUCGAGCAGGUGUUUCCUGUGUGCUCGCCAGGUGAUUUAGGCGUGUCUGGAAGGUGAUUCUGGAGUGUCCGCCAAGUGGUUCUGGCGUAGCCGGCAGGUGAUUUUGGCGUGUUCGGCAGUUGAUUCCAGCAGCUCGAGCAGGUGGUUCCGGCAUGCCUGACAGGUGAUUCUGGAGUGUCUAGCAAGUGGUUCUGGCGUAGCCAGCAGAAGAAUUUGGCGUGUCCGGCAGGUGGUUCUGGAGAGUCGAGCAGGUGGUUCCAGCGAGCUCAGCAGGUGCUUCCAGCGUCUCCGGCAGGUGGUUCCAGUCUGCACGGGAGGUGGUUCUGGCGUGUCUGGCAGGCGGUUCCAGUCUGUCCGGGAGGUGGUUCCGGCAUGCUGGGAAGGUGCUUCCGGCAUCUCCGGCGCGUGGUUCUGGCAUAUCUGAGAGGUUGUGCCAGCAUGCCUGGCACGUGAUUCUGGCUUGUCUGCCAAGUGGUUCUGGCGUAGCCCGCAGGUGAUUUUGGCAUGCCCGGCAGGUGGGUCCGGCGAGUAAAGCAGGUGGUUCCAGCGAGUCUGGCAGGUUGUUCCGGUCUGUCCAGGAGUUCGUUCCGGUGUGUCCGGCACGUGCUUCUGGCACGUGUGAGAGGUUGUGUUGGCAUGCUGGAAAGGUGAUUCCGGAGUAUCCGGCAAGUGGUUCUGGUGUAGCCGGCAGGUGAUUUUGCCAUGACCGGCAGGUGGUUCCGGCAAGUCGAGCAGGUGGUUUCAGUGAGCUCGGCAGGCGCUUCCGGAAUCUCCGGCACAUAUUUCUUGCACAUCUGAGAGGUAGUUCUGGCAUGCCCGGCAGGUGAUUCGGGAGUGUCCGGCAAGUUGUUCUGGCGUUACCGGCAGGUAAUUUUGGCGUCUCCAGCAGUUGGGUCCUGCGAGUCGAGCAGCUGGUUCCGGCGUGCUUCGGCAGGUGUUUCAGGCAUGUCCGGCAGGUGGUUAAUGUCUGUCCGGAACGUGUUUCUGGUGUGUCUGGCACAUGGUUCGGGUACCUCUGAGAGGUGGUUCCGGCAUGCCUGGGAGGUGAUUCUGGAGUGUCCGCCAAGUGUUUCUGGCAUAGCUGGCAGGUGAUUUUGGCGUGUCCGGCAGGUGGUUCUGGGGAGUGGAUCAGGUGGUUCAGGCAUGCUCGGCAGGUUGUUCAGGCGUUUCGGGCAGGUGGUUCCAGUCUGUCCUGUAGGUGCUUUCAGUGUGUCCCUCACAUGGUUCUGGCACGUCUGAGAGGUGGUUCUGGUAUGCCCGGCAGGUAAUCCCGGACUAUCCCCCAUGUGGUUCUGGCGUAGCAGGCAGGUGAUUUUGGCGUGUCCAGCAGGUGGUUCUGGUGAGUCGAGCAGGUGGUUCCGGGGUGCUGGGCUGGUGGUUCAGGUGUGUCCGGCAGGUUGUUCCGGUCUGUCCCGGAGGUGGUUCCGGCGUGUCCGGCAGGUGGUUCCUGUCUGUCCGGGAGGUGGUUCCGGCAUGCUCAGCAGGUGCUUCUGGCGUUGCCGGCACGUGCUUCUGGAACGUCUGAGAGGUGGUUCUGGCAUGCCCGGCAGGUGAUUCCGGAGUGUCCGACAAGUGGUUCUGGCGUAGCCGACUGGUGAUUGCGGCUUGUCUGGCAGGUGGUUCCGGCGAGUCGAGCAGGUGGUUCCGGCGUGCUCGGCAGGUCGUUCAGGCGUGUACGGCAGGUGGUUCCAGUCUGUCCGGAAUGUGGUUCUGGCGUGUCCGGCACAUGGUUCGGGUACAUCUGAGACGUGGUUCUGGCAAGCCUGGCAGGUGAUUCCGGAGUGUCCGCCAAGUGGUUCUGGCGUAGCCGACAGGUGAUUUUGGCGUGUCUGGCAAGUGGUUCUGGGGAGUGGAUCAGGUGGUUCAGGAAUGCUCAGCAGGUUGUUCAGGCGUUUCGGGCAGGUAGUUCCGGUCUGUCCAGUAGGUGCUUUUGCUGUGUCCCGCACAUGAUUCUGGCACUUCUGAGAGGUGGCUCCAGCAUGCCCGGCAGGUGAUCCCGGACUGUCCCCCAUGUGGUUCUGGCGUACCCGGCAUGUGAUUUUGGUGUGUCCAGCACGUGGUUCCGGUGAGUAGAGCAGGUGGUUCCGGCAUGCUGGGCUGGUGGUUCAGGCGUGUCAGGCAGGUUAUUCUGGUCUGUCCGGAGGUGGUUCCGGUGUGUCCAGCAGGUGGUUCCUGUCUGUCCGGGAGGUGGUUCCGGCAUGCUCGGCAGGUGCUUCCGGCGUCUCCGGCAUGUGCUUCUGGCACGUCUGAGAGGUGGUUCCGGCAUGCUCGGCAGGUGAUUCCGGAGUGUUCGCCAAGUGGUUCUGGCAUAUCCGGCAGGUGAUUUUUACGUGUCCGGCACGUGGUUCUGUGGAGUGAAUCAGGUGGUUCUGGCAUGCUCGGCAGGUGCUUCCGGCGUCUCCGGUAUGUGGUUCUGGCACGUUUGAGAGGUGGUUCCAGCAUGCCCGGCAGGUGAUUCCGGAGUGUCCGACAAGUGGUUCUGGCGUAGACUGCUGGUGAUUUUGGGGUGUCUGGCAGGUGGUUCCGGCGAGUCGAACAGGUGGUUCCUGCGUGCCAGCAGGUGGUUCAGGCGGGUCCAGCAGGCGGUUUCCGUCUCUCCGGGAGGUGGUUCCGGUGUGUCCAGCAGGUGGUUCCGGUCAGUCCGGGAGGUGGUUCCGGUGUCUCCGGCACAUGGUUCUGGCACAUCUGAGAUGUGGUUCCAGCAUGCCCGGCAGGUGAUUCCGGAGUGUCUGCCACGUGGUUCUGGCGUAGCCGGCAGGUGAUUUUGGCAUGUCAUGCAGUUGGUUCUGGCAAGUCGAGCAGGUGGUUCUGGCAUGCCUGGCAGGUGAUUCCGGAGUGUCCGACAAGUGGUUCUGGUGUAGCCUGCUGGGGAUUUUGGGGUUUCCAGCAGGUGGUUCUGGCGAGUCGAGCAGCUGGUUCCUGCGUUCCGGCUGUUGGUUCAGGCGGGUCCGGCAAGUGGUUUCCGUCUGUCCGGGAUUUGGUUUUUGGAUUUUGACGUGUGCGGCAGGUGGUUCCAGCGAAUCGAGAAGGUCGUUCCGGAGUGCUCGGCACGUUGUUCAGGCGUGUCUGGCCGGUGGUUCCGGUCAGUCCGGGAGGUGGUUCCGGUGUCUCCGGCACAUGUUUCAGGCACAUCUGAGAUGUGGUUCCAGCAUGCCCGGCAGGUGAUUCCGGAGUGUCUGCCACGUGGUUCUGGCGUAGCCGGCAG
rnacentral:lncRNA from 1 species